CAGCACGGAAUGCCUCUUUGACGAUGAGAAUAUGUCGCUACUCAAUGAAGUUAGCAGCGUCAGUUCAGUGUCUACAUAUGAGUUUUGCAUGAAAGAAAAGAUCCAGGUACAGGAAUGUUUUCUCUUCAAAACUAAAGUGCGGAAAUUUACCAGACGCAUACAAGAAUUUUUUUACAAUAUUAAGGUAAAAAGGCAAUGGAAAAAGUUUACCUGAAGAGAAAUUCUGCGCAGUUUGAAAGAGACGCGAGAAACAAACACGUAUCUGGGAAGCCUAGAUGUCAUCCAUUUUAUUUUGUGAAUUAACUUCUUGUAAUAUGAUUUUGUUAGGUUGAAACUUUAUCUUGUAUGAAAUAGAUCAUAGAAGGUGUCGAAAAACAACACACAAUUAUUUUUUAGACCCAAUGUGUUCUGAAUGAGUUCAUGUUUGUUAAAAAACUAUGUGUAGAAUUGCUCAAAUCUACUACUUCAUGACGUCGAAUACCAAAAUAUGUAUUUUCAUUUACGACUUAAUGUUUAAAAUGUAACAUAUGAUGUAUCCUAUAGAUAGAAGUUUUGUUGUUUAUAUGUAGAAAAUAUACCAACCUACCCUCACAAACUGAUGUUCAUUAGAUUUGAAAAUAAUUAAGUUCUUGCGUUGAUGAUAAAACUUUUCAAGAUAAACUUUUCUUACUGGUGCAUUUUGUAUUCACAUUUUUACAGUUGCCAUCCUCAACAUUUGUAUAUAAAAUAUUCGUUUAUUUAUGUCAUUUAAUUUCUCCGUAUAUUCAAUCAGAAAACAUUUUAAUGACAUAUUGGAACUCUUUUAUUAUUAAAAGAAUCUUCAUCAACAUUUCUACUCUUCAGAAAAUUCCAUCCUGUUUGUUAGCUUUAUAUUGUAUCAAUGUCAUUGCUACAUUAUAUGUUCCGUUUAUUUAGAUUAGCUUUAUAUACUAAUCCCCACAACUUAACUUAAAGAUGCAUGGACAUUUAUUAAUUUCAAAAGUAAACGUUGACAUUGCCAGGUGAUUGAACUACUUAGUGCCUUCAUAAUGUGGUUACUGCCCUGUUUACAAUGGUGUGAUUUCUAUUCCACCGAAGUGUAAUUCAAUUCUUUGAUCUUUUUUACUUAUUGUUACUGUACUACUAUCUUCAAUUUUGAAUGUAGUAGCAUUGUGAAUUUUGUGCCUUAUUGAUAUUGUACACUAUAUGUUUAAAAAUCUAACCUUAGAAUGACAUCGAUUUUUACAUUGUGAUUAGUAGAGCUAUGUCUGAUGGAUUAGCUAACUUGAUAUCUAGUAGUGUUUCAUAUUUUAUGAAUCAAUCAAUACCAUUUCAACCAUCUUGUUGAUGAGCUUUAAUAGUCACUUUCUAGAGAUUAUAUUGUGGUUUACAUUUGACCUGACCUGACCUUACCACCACCUCACCCCCUCAUUAACAAACACAUACACGUUUUUCUCAAAACUCAGUACCAAUUAUCGUAGACAGCAUUUGUGCGAAAAUGGGAGCAGUUUCUUGAAAUAUGUUGAUAAUAUGUUGAUAAUAUGUUGAUAAUAUGUUGAUAAUCUGUAUAUAUGUAAUUAUUCAGUUUAAGUUUGUACAGCUUCUGCAGAUAAUUAAUUAAAGAUUUUAAAAUGGCAUGUCUGUAUCAAAACACUAAGUAUUAAACUUCAAACAUUUUUUCCCUUCUUAACUUCAGACGUAAAUCAUAAUUCCAGAACAUGUUUAUGUAUCUAGAUAACUG